GGUACUUGGAGAGUGGUUAUCCCUGUCCUGUUCGUUUUGCUCAUGUCGAAUCGUACAGGGUCAUCCACUUUUUCAGUAUC
rfam:Pan troglodytes isolate Yerkes chimp pedigree #C0471 (Clint) chromosome 14, whole genome shotgun sequence.